rnacentral:ncRNA from 1 species
CGGUGAGGUAGAGGUGCAGACAAUAUUAUUAAUUAGCGUGAGAAUGACAUCGAUGAUUGCUGAUGAAAGGAUUGGUUGCCGAAGCGUAGUAAGGGUCGAACUUAUUACUGCUGGUAUAUCUUUGAAUAAAGGAUAUACUGUCGUGCAUGGUGUGCAUGGAGGACUACUGAUCGA